AUAAACAAACAAACAAACCCAACCUCAGGUAUAGCAGCGUGAAACAGACUAAGACAUUCCACAUGCCCUGUGGUCCACUACCCCAGGGUGCAAAGAUGUUCCCUCAGCCAUGAAAAUCGACAUUCCCCCCUGGCUCCUGGGAUAUCUGGAGGGAUUGUAAGCAGCUUGGGUUGGUGAGAUAAGGAGUUUGGGGGGCAGCUGGUUCGUGACCCUGGCCGCCUCAACUGCAGGCUCUUGGUCUGAAGUACUGUAAUUAAAGUAUGAGAGCCUCGGGGCCCUCACUUCAAGGAGGGAACAGCAUCCCCAUGCCUCAGCGUUUGAGGAUUGUACCCCAUCCCUCAG